UGUAUAAUGCAAAUUAAGAAAUUAAAGAGAUUGACAAAUAUCCAUGCAGAAAGACUGAUGAUAAUUGCCAAAAAUAACAAUCAAUUUGUCGCAAACUGAGAAUAGUUUUGUAUACUAUCUUUUCACUGGGCCACUGUCUACAAACGCUUAAAAACAUUUGCGCGUACCAACAGCGGAACCAGUAAAUAUCCGUUUCCCAGAACACAUGUGAUUGACUUCCUCUGUUUACAUUAAUUUUUAUGAACCGGGAACUGACACGUGUGUAAGAUAAACUUCACCCACAAUCAUCCGAAAAUGGCAGCUUUUGAUCCUGAUAUUGAAAUCAUGUAUGUGUGUCGGUCGAAUUUAGUAUCACGUUCUCAAGUGCGAGUGAUUAUGUCUGAAACGUACAACCGAACAAAACUUCCUGAAGCAAUGGAAAACGAUCUUGAACUUGUAUGGAGUGAUCGAGUGUCCAAAAACCCGAAGUUGUAUAAUGGUACCAAGUUCAGGAUAGAUUCUGUAUCGUUUCAUGGCGACAUACUAACGUUAAAUCUCGGGGUAACGUGUUACAAGGAAUAUAUAGGGAGCAACUGGUCUCCUAGAGUAGGGCAAUACCAAACUGUGGGUCGUCAGCAAAGUAACAACCCUCAGGUGCACCUGUCAGAUCCUCUUGGCGUCGGGUCGUUUGUACUGACAAGUGAUAAUCGUGUGAUCCUGCUGAGGAGAAGUGUACACUGUGGCGAGGCUCCUGGUCUGUGGGACGUCCCAGGUGGACAUGCAGAGCCUGAGGAGUUGGUUGGGAAGAAACCGUUUGAGGAAAUAGAUGUGUCCUCCAUGGAUUCUCAAGCUGUCACUGAGGAAAUCUUUGACUCCAUCCUGCGUGAGAUUCGGGAUGAGGUUAAUCUGCCACAGUCAUCCUUGUCCGAUCCUGAAGUCCUUGGUAUAGCUCGGAACACCACUAGUGCAGGCAGACCCAGCAUGGAGUUUCUUGUCAGGUGCAGUCUGACGUCGGAGGAGGUGGUGUCUCGGUACCGGCAGGGCAGCCAGGCCGAGGCUGACGAGUCCACCAGCAUCAAGAUGCUCCCUCUAGAAGACGCUGUUGUCUUGAAAACAAAGAAUCCUGACUUGUGGGGGAAACUGGCCCCUUCUGGCAAAGGGUGUUUCAUUCUUUACGGGUUAACAAACAGUAGUUAGUCCAAUGAGUGUCGCCCCACACGCCUCGGCUGGUGUUGUCUAGCAACAAGUUGGAAUGUGCCUUCCUUCACUGCCUCAGGUCACAGACAGCUAACCUGCUGUCAUAGUGUUUAUUACACAUGUAUUUUGAACCAUGCUGUAGAGAUUUACAUCUUGUACAGUGAGUGAGGUUGUUUAACAAUGUCUGCAAUGGCAGCUAUACAGAAUGUAUGAUGGGACACUGCUGCAUGAGGUACUCUGCGAGGAAUAUCUCAUGUUGGCACUUUGAUGCAAGGGACUUUUCAUACAUAUGAUCAUCUGAUCACAUUGCGGGUUGCCAUUAUUUCUAUGUUAGUUACAAUUAAGUACAUUUUGCUAAUAUGGGUCACUUCCCGUAUCGUUGAAUUUAGUAAUGUGGAUCAAAUCAUAUAUCAUUUACUUCAGUAAUGAGGGUCACUUCCUGUAUGGUGGAAUUUAGUAAUGCGGAUCAAAUCAUAUAUCAUAUACUUUACUAAUGUGGGUCACUUCCUGUAUCGUGGAAUUUAGUAAUGUGGAUCACUUCCUGUAUCUUAGACUCAGUAUAGAGGGUCACUUCCUGUAUCGUGGAAUUUAGUAAUGUGGAUCACUUCCUGUAUCGUGGAAUUUAGUAAUGUGGAUCGAAUCAUAUAUCAUGUACUCUUCUAAUGUGGGUCACAUCCUGUAUCAUAGAAUUUAGUAAUGUGGAUCAAAUCAUAUAUCAUGUACUUUACUAAUGUGGGUCACUUCCUGUAUCUUGGACUCAGUAAUGUGGGUCACUUACUGUAUCAUGGAAUUUAGUAAUGUGAAUCACUUCCUGUAUCUUGGACUCAGUAAUGUGGAUCACUUCCUGUAUCGUGGAAUUUAAUCAUGUGGAUCAAAUCAUAUAUCAUGUUUUUUACUAAUGUGGGUCACUUCCUGUAUCGUGGAAUUUAGUAAUGUGGAUCACUUCCUGUAUCUUGGAAUUUAAUCAUGUGGAUCAAAUCAUAUAUCAUGUUUUUUACUAAUGUGGGUCACUUCCUGUAUCGUGGACUCAGUAAUGUGGGUCACUUCCUGUAUCUUGGAAUUUAAUAAUGUGGAUCAAAUCAUAUAUCAUGUUUUUUACUAAUGUGGGUCACUUACUGUAUCAUGGAAUUUAGUAAUGUGAAUCACUUCCUGUAUCUUGGACUCAGUAAUGUGGAUCACUUCCUGUAUCGUGGAAUUUAAUCAUGUGGAUCAAAUCAUAUAUCAUGUUUUUUACUAAUGUGGGUCACUUCCUGUAUCGUGGAAUUUAGUAAUGUGGAUCACUUCCUGUAUCUUGGAAUUUAAUCAUGUGGAUCAAAUCAUAUAUCAUGUUUUUUACUAAUGUGGGUCACUUCCUGUAUCGUGGACUCAGUAAUGUGGGUCACUUCCUGUAUCGUGGAAUUUAAUAAUGUGGAUCAAAUCAUAUAUCAUGUUUUUUACUAAUGUGGGUCACUUCCUGUAUCAUGGAAUUUAAUCAUGUGGAUCAAAUCAUAUAUCAUGUUUUUUACUAAUGUGGGUCACUUCCUGUAUCUUGGUGUCAUUCAUCCCCAGGCUCCCAUGACAACACUGAACCAUGUUUGAUAUUAUGAAGCCAAAUUCUUCCAUUGAAUGUAAAUAUUUGUAACUCGUAUAUGUUUGUCUUAAUGCUGUUCUUAACAGUUUUUUUAAUCUGCAUCUUAUUUUUUCGUGCAAUCAAUAUCAGAGAAAGCUGCACGUUAUUUCCAGGCUGCUUGUUGAGAGGACAGUUCCUGACUGAAUCAUCAGCUGUGAAUGUUGUAUUCAUACACCACACUUUUAUACCGGUGACAUCAGAUUUCAACCUACAAUUUCGAUAAGUGAGUAAUAAAUAAAUUAUCACACACAACCACAUUAGAUACUGUUUAUAUUACAACUUGUGUAUUUCAAAAGUAAUCUAUAUAUAUCGCUAUAAAUUAAUGUUUGUGUGGAUCGAUUUCAUCAUCACGUCAUGGACCUAGUGGGAUCAUUUCAUCAUCACGUCAUGGACCUAGUGGGAUCAUUUCAUCAUCACGUCAUGGACCUUGUGGGAUCAUUACAUCAUCACGUCAUGGACCUUGUGGGAUCAUUUCAUCAUCACGUCAUGGACCUAGUGGGAUCAUUUCAUCAUCACGUCAUGGACCUAGUGGGAUCAUUUCAUCAUCACGUCAUGGACCUUGUGGGAUCAUUUCAUCAUCACGUCAUGGACCUAGUGGGAUCAUUUCAUCAUCACGUCACGGACCUUGUGGGAUCAUUUCAUCAACGUGUUUCAUGGACCUUGUUAAUGUUUUGGAAUUAUUAUAUAUUUAUUUUCUACGUGGAUGUAUACAUAUAAAUAAAACGUACCAUACUGA
rnacentral:misc_RNA from 1 species